rnacentral:tRNA from 1 species
GCCUCUGUAGCUCAGCUGGAUAGAGUACGUGUCUGGUAAACCGUGGGUCGCGGGUUCGAGUCCCGCCGGGGGCG